GACGAACGCUGGCGGCGUGCUUAACACAUGCAAGUCGAACGAAGUGGCGAACGGGUGAGUAACGCAUAAUCAACCUGCCCUUCAGGGGGGGACAACAGUUGGAAACGACUGCAAUUACCGCAUACUGAAGGAGGGGUUUGCGUGUGAUUAGCUCGUUGGAGGGGUAACGGCCCACCAAGGCGAUGAUCAGUAGCCGGUCUGAGAGGAUGAACGGGCAACUUGGGACUGGGACACGGCCCAGACUUCUACGGGAGGCAGCAGUGGGGAAUCUUCCGAAAUGGACGAAAGUCUGACGGAGCCACGCCGGGGGAGUGAUGACGGCCUUCGGGUUGUAAAGGUCUGUUAAGCGGGACGCGGUACCGGAAUAGAAAGCCACGGCUAACUACGUGCCAGCAGCCGCGGUAAUUC
rnacentral:rRNA from 1 species